AGCAGCCGCGGUAAUUCCAGCUCCAAUAGCGUAUAUUAAAGUUGUUGCAGUUAAAAAGCUCGUAGUUGAACUUCGGGGUUCACCCAUUGGUCAGGCUUAAUUGUCUGUACUGGUGAGAUGAGUCUCUACCUUCUGAGGAACUUUCAUGCCAUUUGUUUGGUGUGAUUGGAAAUCAGGACUGUUACUUUGAAAAAUUAGAGCGUUUAAAGCAGGCUAACGUCUGAAUACAUUAGCAUGGAAUAAUGAAAUAGGACGGAUUGAUUCUAUUUCGUUGGUUUCUAGGGUCACCGUAAUGAUUAAUAGGGAUAGUUGGGGGCAUUAGUAUUCAAUUGUCAGAGGUGAAAUUCUUGGAUUUAUUGAAGACUAACUACUGCGAAAGCAUUUGCCAAGGAUGUUUUCAUUAAUCAAGAACGAAAGUUAGGGGAUCGAAGACGAUCAGAUACCGUCGUAGUCUUAACCAUAAACUAUGCCGACUAGGGAUCGGACACAGUUAAUUUUAUAAUGACGUGUUCGG
rnacentral:rRNA from 1 species